rnacentral:ncRNA from 1 species
GCUUUUUUCGCAGCGGAGCUCGACCGCCCCACGACGAGAUGAUCGCUUAUAUCGAUAUGUUUCGGGAUCGUUUCGGAGUCGAGUCCAUCUGUCGUGUGUU